rnacentral:lncRNA from 1 species
UCGUCUGAGACGCCAGAGUCUGAGCAUGUUCAGGACUUUAAAACCGAGUCCGCUGCUAUGACCUGUGAGCAGGAGACUGAGAGUUUGUAAUGGUACGGUUGAGCAGACAUCAAAAAUAAACCAGGUUGAUAUGUACCUGUUGACGGGUUAGCGUUAUAGAUAGAGUUUAGUGAUGACUCUGAAAGUGAAAUAUCUCAGUGUAAGUGGAAAAUGUGAUCAAAUGCUACAUAUUGACCUUAGUGAUAUCUUCUUGGGAUCAUUAACAAGAAAGUAAGAUUGGCUAUCAACAUAUGCCACAAAGAAGGUGAGGAUUAUAUCGAUAGCGAAGAAGCCAUUGACAAUGUGGUCAAAGAUGAAAAGAGCGUCCUGCUUGUAAGUCAGAAAUGCAAAUUCAAAUGGGCAGAUCCAAGCUGAGUAAAUGACUAGGAUAAUUAGAAACAUCUCCCAUGCCCUGAAAUGAAGAAGAUAGAAUCAGAAACAUUGGAGUUGUGCCUAAAAUUACCUUAGCAAGCAGCAGGAAUUUAGUUUUCACCUAUAACUGGGAUUGAAUGGGGAAAUUAUAUAUUUUCGAGGUAUUGUUGCUUGGUUUAUAUUGGCUCCCAGAGAUGGGAGUAGAUCACUAGAGAAGAAGCCACUCUGGGCACCUGUACUCAUUUGGAAGUCGUCAAUACAGAACUGUUGUAAGAAGUUUUUGGUGCUGGAAAAUGACAUUUUGUGGGGUUUGAUUUUCUAAAGGUUACAGUAGAGUCUGUUAAUCUUCGAUGGGUUGUAAGUCUCUUAGAAGAGUUUAUAUAUAGCUAAGCUAGAGGCUGGUGGCACGGGUAAAGACUCCUUGGCAUAAUUUUCCUUUGGUAUGCUUCUUUUAGUAUGCUUUAACAUAUUUGGAAAGAUUAUGCAGCUAAUACGUCAUUAAGGUUAGAAAAGAGAGAGAAGGAGGGGAAUUUUUUGUACAAAGGUAGAAAUAGACAGAAAAAUAUUGGAGUGACAAAGCAACACAAAAUAGUUGAAAGUGGUGGGCAUUGAGCUCUUCGUAAUGCUGUUGCAGAGAUGUGAGAGAUAGAGAGAGAGAGAGAGAGAGAGAAUGGAAGAUGGUCCUUGUGUGGGUGGUGGUGGUAAUGGUGGAAGCUCCAUCAUCAAUAACUGUGGAGCUGUAAAUGAUGUGCAGACAGGGAAGGGCUUUAAGACAGAUUUGAAUGAAAAUAUAUUGGUGUUUUCAUUUCAAAAAUCUAGAAAUGGACCAGGGAAACAUAGUCGGAUCAGGGACGGGGUUUGUUUAGUGGAUGCCACGUGGACCAAUUGGAGCCUGUUUUUGGAAUGCUUGGCGUACUGCAGAGGCUUCUCUUAACAACUCAAUUUCAACUACCUCUCUUACAAAGGAGGUUGUUUGUUUAUGCUAAGCAAUUAGAACCAUGUGUGUGAAAUGGAUUCCGGCCAUAUAUCCAACGGUCCCUCCCAUCCUUGCCCUCUCUCCCUCUCUCCUUCUCUCUAGGGUAUGCAUUGUCUUAUUUUUUAUAAGCAGAUAUUCUUGUUGAUAUUCACCGACCAGUUGAUGAUGCCUUGGUCGAUGAUCCUGUCAAUUUUCUUUUUAUUAAUUUCAGUCUGAAAAUAUUUUAGGAACAUUUCAUUUUUAUGAUGGCGUCUAUAAAAGCCUUAUCGAAAUUAUGCAAAUCUUGUAUACACACGCGCGAAUAUUACUUGAUUGAAGAUUUUCCACAUCCAUGGUUACAGGUGGAAAAGUUGUAAAGGAGAAAAGUUGUAAUUUACUUCAUAUGGAGAAGCCCAGAAGGGGACUGACUCCAUGGGCAUCUUUGAAGAGUUUAUCCAUAGGAGUCAUAAAUUCAUGAUAUGGGCCACAUAUUUUGCUCAUUUACAGCCUAUUUUGUCAUUUUGAUAGGGGAGACAUAUGACUAUG